GAGGGUGCUAAGGUAGCGAAAUUCCUUGCCUUUUAAUUGUAGGCCUGCAUGAAUGGCUCGACGAGGGUUUAACUGUCUCUGGUUUGUGAGUCCUAAAUUGGAUUAAAGGUGAAGAUACCUUUAUACAAAAGUCAGACAAGAAGACCCCGUGCAACUUUUAAAGUCGGUUUAUUGAGAAACCUUAAGAUUUUUAGGUGGGGCGCCUACUGAGUAAUAUUAACCUCUGUGUAUAAUAAAGACUUUCAAGUUUAGACCCGACAUUGUCGAUAAUAGGAGAAUGUUACGCCGGGGAUAACAGGCUAAUCCGCUAGUAGAGAACGUAUUGGCUAGUGGGAUUGGCACCUCGAUGUUGAAUCAGGGAUGAUACCUUUAAGGCGUAGAAGCUUUAAAAGU
rnacentral:rRNA from 1 species